AUCACACCCGCAAAAACAUAUCCAUAAUGAAGAUGUUACUGGUUUGCCUGCUGAUACUGGCAGUCUCCAUUCAGGGAUCGACGGGGAAUCCAUCUGUGACUCAGUCUCCUGUAUCAAAGUCUGCUGCUGUGGGAGAGAUGGUUUCUCUGAGCUGUACAGCCAGUACAGGCGUUGAUGAUGAUCUCAGUUGGUACCUGCAGAAUGAUCUGAUUAAAAAUGAGUGCAGAAGACAUUCAUUCCUCUUUUAACACAAAAGCUAAACAACAGUUUCUGAGAUAAGCUACUGUAGUGCACAUUAAAAAGCAAACAGGCCAUAAAAUGAAAUGCAGAACGCAUGGCAGAUGUAUUUCUGGUGUGUACAAUACUGUCUUUCAUUACAUUAAAAUCAAGACUCAGAGAGUGAUGUUUCUUUACGCAGUUGUGUUAAAAACAAGGAGG